AGAGUUUGAUCCUGGCUCAGGAUUAACGCUGGCGGUAUGCAUAACACAUGCAAGUCGAGCGCGAACGUUCCUUCGGGAGCUAGUAGAGCGGCGAACGGGUGAGUAACACGUUGGAAUCUACCUCUAACUCAGGGAUAGCCCAUCGAAAGAUGGAUUAAUACCGGAUAGUCCCUUCGGGGUAAAGCUUUUGCGGUUAGAGAUGAGCCUGCGUCCUAUCAGCUUGUUGGUGAGGUAAUAGCUCACCAAGGCGAUGACGGGUAGCUGGUCUGAGAGGACGAUCAGCCACAAUGGGACUGAGACACGGCCCAUACUCCUACGGGAGGCAGCAGUGAGGAAUUUUGCACAAUGGGGGAAACCCUGAUGCAGCAAUACCGCGUGGAGGAUGACGGCUUUCGGGUUGUAAACUCCUUUUAUAUGGGAAGAAUUUUGACUGUACCAUAUGAAUAAGUCACGGCUAACUACGUGCCAGCAGCCGCGGUAAUACGUAGGUGGCAAGCGUUAUCCGGAAUUAUUGGGCGUAAAGCGUCCGCAGGCGGUUUUGUAAUUCAGAUGUAAAAUCUAUAGGCCCAACCUGUAGUUUGUAUCUGAGACUAUAAGACUAGAGAAUGUUAGAGGUCAGUGGAAUUUCUGGUGUAGGGGUAAAAUCCGUAGAUACCAGAAGGAACACCAAUUGCGAAGGCAGCUGACUGGGGCAUUUCUGACGCUCACGGACGAAAGCGUGGGGAGCGAAAAGGAUUAGAUACCCUUGUAGUCCACGCCGUAAACGAUGGAUACUAGAUUUUGGGAGGAAUCGAUCCCUUUUCAGAGUCGUAAGCUAACGCAUUAAGUAUCCCGCCUGAGGAGUACGAGCGCAAGCUUAAAACUCAAAGGAAUAGACGGGGACCCACACAAGCGGUGGAGCGUGUUGUUUAAUUCGACGAUAAGCGGAGAACCUUACCUGGCCUUGACAUCUCAAGAAAUCUCCAGAGACGGAGACGUGCCUACUUUCGUAGGAAUUUGAUGACAGGUGCUGCAUGGUUGUCGUCAGCUCGUGCCGUGAGGUGUACGGUUAAGUCCGAUAACGAGCGCAACCCUUGUCGUAUGUUGUAUUUCUCAUACGAGACUGCCUGGGUUAACCAGGAGGAAGGUAGGGAUGACGUCAAAUCAGCAUGGCUCUUACGGCCAGGGCUACAAACGCGCUACAAUGGGUGGUACAAAAGGUCGUGCAAUGAGGUAACUCAAAGCUAAUCCUCCAAAGCCAUCCUUAGUUCGGAUUGAGGGCUGCAAUUCGCCCUCAUGAAGCUGGAAUCGCUAGUAACCGUAGAUCAGCAACGCUACGGUGAAUAUGUUCCUGGGUCUUGUACUCACCGCCCGUCACGUCAUGAGAGCUGGAAACAUCCGAAGGCCCCGCUUGCGGGGACGAAGGUGGAGUCAGUGAUUGGGACGAAGUCGUAACAAGGUA
rnacentral:rRNA from 1 species